CCUACGGGGUGCAGCAGUGAGGAAUCUUGGUCAAUGGACGAGAGUCUGAACCAGCCAAGUAGCGUGAAGGAUUACUGCCCUAUGGGUUGUAAACUUCUUUUAUAAAGGAAUAAAACGCGGCACGUGUGCCUUUUUGCAUGUACUUUAUGAAUAAGGAUCGGCUAACUCCGUGCCAGCAGCCGCGGUAAUACGGAGGAUCCGAGCGUUAUCCGGAUUUAUUGGGUUUAAAGGGAGCGUAGAUGGGUUGUUAAGUCAGUUGUGAAAGUUUGCGGCUCAACCGUAAAAUUGCAAUUGAUACUGGCAGUCUGGAGUACAGUUGAGGGAAGCGGAAUUCGUGGUGUAGCGGUGAAAUGCUUAGAUAUCACGAAGAACCCAGAUUGCGAAGGCAGCUUACUAAACUGUGACUGACAUUGAUGCUCGAAAGUGUGGGUAUCAAACAGGAUUAGAUACCCGGGUAGUC
rnacentral:rRNA from 1 species